rnacentral:rRNA from 1 species
GACGAACGCUGGCGGCGUGCUUAACACAUGCAAGUCGAACGGAGCGAAUGAAAGCUUGCUUUUAUGAGCUUAGUGGCAAACGGGUGAGUAACACGUAGACAACCUGCCGACAGGAUGGGGACAACAUUCCGAAAGGAAUGCUAAUACCGAAUGAAGCGGAGGAGAGGCAUCUCUCCUCCGUGAAAGAUGGCCUCUAUUUAUAAGCUAUCACCUGUCGAUGGGUCUGCGUCUGAUUAGCUAGUUGGUGAGGUAAUGGCUCACCAAGGCGACGAUCAGUAGCCGGUCUGAGAGGAUGAACGGCCACAUUGGGACUGAGACACGGCCCAGACUCCUACGGGAGGCAGCAGUGGGGAAUCUUCCGCAAUGGGCGCAAGCCUGACGGAGCAACGCCGCGUGAGUGAAGAAGGUCUUCGGAUCGUAAAGCUCUGUUGAUGGGGACGAACGUACGGAGUGCGAAUAGUGCUCUGUAAUGAC